rnacentral:rRNA from 1 species
GAUGAACGCUAGCUACAGGCUUAACACAUGCAAGUCGAGGGGCAGCACAGUGUAGCAAUACACGGGUGGCGACCGGCGCACGGGUGCGUAACGCGUAUCCAACCUUCCCGUUACUCUGGGAUAGCCUUCCGAAAGGGAGAUUAAUACCGGAUGGUGUUCAAGUGGUGCAUAUUAUUUGAACUAAAGAUUUAUCGGUAGCGGAUGGGGAUGCGUACCAUUAGAUAGUAGGCGGGGUAACGGCCCACCUAGUCCACGAUGGUUAGGGGUUCUGAGAGGAAGGUCCCCCACACUGGAACUGAGACACGGUCCAGACUCCUACGGGAGGCAGCAGUGAGGAAUAUUGGUCAAUGGCCGGGAGGCUGAACCAGCCAAGUAGCGUGAAGGAUGAAGGUUCUAUGGAUUGUAAACUUCUUUUAUACGGGAAUAACACCAUCUACGUGUAGAUGUCUGCAUGUACCGUAUGAAUAAGCAUCGGCUAACUCCGUGCCAGCAGCCGCGGU